rnacentral:rRNA from 1 species
GUACCGUGAGGGAAAGGUGAAAAGUACCCCGAUAAGGGGAGUGAAAUAGAACCUGAAACCGUGAGCAUACAAUCUGUCGGAGGACUAUGAUGGAAGGGCGCUGAAGAGAUUCAGUGGCCGCCAUAAUGUCUGACGGCGUGCCUUUUGGAGAAUGAGCCUGCGAGUUAAUCUCUGUCGCUAGGUUAAGGGAGUAACACCCGGAGCCGGAGCGAAAGCGAGUCGUCUUAAUAGGGCGCGAGUGGCAGGGUUUAGACACGAAACCAAGUGAGCUACCCAUGGUCAGGGUGAAGCGGGUGUAAAAACCCGUGAAGGCCCGAACCUUUCAGCGUUGCAAAGCUGCAGGAUGAACUGUGGGUAGAGGUGAUAUGCCAAACGAACUUGGAGAUAGCUUGUUCUCUCCGAAAUAGCUUUAGGGCUAGCGUCAUGUGUGGACGGGCAAGGGGCCUUGUCGGCUACCAAACCUAACCAAACUCCGAAUGCCAAUACUUUAAACAUGGCAGUUAGACAGUGGGAGAUGAGUUUCAUUGUCAAGAGGGAAAGAGCCCAGACCAUCAGCUAAGGUCCCUAAGUAUAAACUAAGUGGAAAACGAAGUAGGACUACCGAGACAACCAGGAGGUUGGCUUAGAAGCAGCCAUUCCUUGAAAGAGUGCGUAACAGCUCACUGGUCAAGUGGUCUUGCGCGGAAAAUUUACCGGGGCUAAGUUUAUCACCGAAGCUAUGGGUUUCAGCCAUUAGGCUGGAGCGGUAGGAGAGCGUUCUGUCAGCAGUGAAGGUCGACCGUAAGGACGGCUGGAGCGGGCAGAAGUGAGAAUGCAGGCAUGAGUAGCGUAAAACAUGUGAGAAGCAUGUUCGUCGAAUAUCUAAGGUUUCCGAUGCCAGGUCAAUCCGCAUCGGGUUAGUCGGUCCUUAGUCGAGGCCGGAAGGCGUAGACGAUGGAUAUCCGGUCAACAUUCCGGAACUAUUUAGUAGGAGCGAUGGGGCAACGCAGGGUGGUAGACCAGCCUACGAUUGGAUGUAGGUGGAAAUGUGUAGGUGAUGACGUCCGUAGGAAAAUCCGCGGACUGAGCCGAGGCAUGAGUACGAGUCCUUGAGACAGAAGUGGUUGAUCCAUGCUGCCAAGAAAAACCUCUAAGCGUUGAAUACUAAGUACCCGUACCGCAAACCGACACUGGUAGAUAGGUAGAGCAUACCAAGACGAGCGAGAGAACUUUCGUUAAGGAACUCGGCAAAUUAACCCCGUAACUUCGGGAGAAGGGGUGCCCUCUAUUGUGAUAGAUUUUCAUCUGGAGCAUAUGAGGGCCGCAGUGAACAGGCUCUGGUGACUGGUUACCAAAACCACAGGUCUCUGCUAAGUCGUAAGACGAUGUAUAGGGGCUGACGCCUGCCCAGUGCCGGAAGGUUAAAGGGAAGAGUUAGCUGGUCUUCGGAUCAGCGAAGCUUAGAACUCAAGCCCCGGUGAACGGCGGCCGUAACUAUAACGGUCCUAAGGUAGCGAAAUUCCUUGUCGGGUAAGUUCCGACCCGCACGAAUGGCGUAACAAUCGGAGCACUGUCUCAACGAAAGACUCGGUGAAAUUGAAGUACGCGUAAAGAUGCGCGUUACCCGCAGCAGGACAAAAAGACCCCGUGGAGCUUUACUGUAAGCUGCCAUUGUGUUUGGACAUAGUUUGUGCAGGAUAGGUGGGAGGCUUUGAAGCCGGAGCGCUAGCUUCGGUGGAGCCGCCACUGGAAUACCACCCUCUCUAUGUUUAGGCCCUAACUCUGAUCCGUUAUCCGGAUCGAGGACAGUGUCAGCUGGGCAGUUUGACUGGGGCGGUCGCCUCCGAAAGAGUAACGGAGGCGCCCAAAGGUUCCCUCAGGUUGAAUGGAAACCAACCAAAGAGUGUAAAAGCAUAAGGGAGCUUGACUGCAAGACAUACGCGUCGAGCAGGGACGAAAGUCGGGUUUAGUGAUCCCAUGAUACCGUGUGGAAGGGUCAUGGCUUACCGGAUAAAAGCUACCCCGGGGAUAACAGGCUAGUCUGGUCCAAGAGUUCAUAUCGACGACCAGGCUCGGCACCUCGAUGUCGGCUCAUCGCAUCCUGGGGCUGGAUAAGGUCCCAAGGGUUGGGCUGUUCGCCCAUUAAAGCGGUACGCGAGCUGGGUUCAGACCGUCGUGAGACAGGUCGGUCUCUAUCCGCUGUGGGCGUAAGG